CCUACGGGUGACAGCAGUGAGGAAUAUUGGUCAAUGGACGGAAGUCUGAACCAGCCAUGCCGCGUGCAGGAAGACGGCUCUAUGAGUUGUAACCUGCUUUUGUACAAGGGUAAACCUGAAUACGUGUAUUCAGCUGAAAGUACUGUACGAAUAAGGAUCGGCUAACUCCGUGCCAGCAGCCGCGGUAAUACGGAGGAUCCAAGCGUUAUCCGGAUUUAUUGGGUUUAAAGGGUGCGUAGGCGGAUUGAUAAGUUAGAGGUGAAAUGUCCGAGCUUAACUCGGGAACUGCCUCUAAUACUGUUGAUCGAGAGAGUAUAUGCGGUAGGCGGAAUGUAUGGUGUAGCGGUGAAAUGCUUAGAGAUCAUACAGAACACCGAUUGCGAAGGCAGCUUACCAAUCUAUAUCUGACGUUGAGGCACGAAAGCGUGGGGAGCAAACAGGAUUAGAUACCCUGGUAAUC
rnacentral:rRNA from 1 species